rnacentral:rRNA from 1 species
AUUGAACGCUGGCGGCAGGCCUAACACAUGCAAGUCGAACGAGUGGCGGACGGGUGAGUAAUGUCUGGGAAACUGCCUGAUGGAGGGGGAUAACUACUGGAAACGGUAGCUAAUACCGCAUACCAUCGGAUGUGCCCAGAUGGGAUUAGCUAGUUGGUGGGGUAAAGGCUCACCUAGGCGACGAUCCCUAGCUGGUCUGAGAGGAUGACCAGCAACACGGGAACGGAUACACGGUGCAGACUCCUACGGGAGGAAGCAGUGGGGAAUAUUGCACAAUGGGCGCAAGCCUGAUGCAGCAAUGCCGCGGGUAUGAAGAAGGCCUUCGGGUUGUAAAGUACUUUCAGCGGGGAGGCGUUACCCGCAGAAGAAGCACCGGCUAACUACGUGCCAGCAGCCGCGGUAAUAC